AUUUACAAAGGGGGCAAAACCAAAUUGAUUCCCGCUGCUGUCAUAAAACGCCAUUAUUCAAAUAUUAGAUACGAAAUACCAAAUUGGGGUUAUCCCCCUGGCGGACGGACGAUUAAAUAAAAAGGAGAGUGACUACCGUUAUUGAACUUUCCUUGGCAUUACGUAUGAAAAAAAUAACUGACGAAUCGCAUCGUUCUAAAGGCUAUUCCCAAGUAACAAUUUCCGUGUGCAGGGUCGGUUUCCUUUCCCCAUGCCCACAACAUAGUGCAGACCCUAUUCAGGAAUGCAGAAAAAAUUGAACAUGGUGCACGUUUUGGGUUAAGGUGAUAAUUAUGACCAUAACAAAAAGAAGUCGUUGCUAUUAUCGGGCCUCGCAAUAUUUUUAUUAUAUGGUUUAACAAACCUUACAUAAGAAGCAAAAAACAAGAUAUGAACAAGGAAAUGAUUAUAACAAUAAUUUAAAAAAAUAUCUUAAUAAAUACAAACAAGGUCAACGUGCUACUAAAAAUUGGUUAAAAAGUUUUUGAUUGGAAUUAGAUUUAUGUUAGAAAAGUUGCUUAAAGACACAAAAAACAUUCCCUAAUAGUACUUUUCUCGGAAUC